GAAUGGCUAAAUGAGGACAAAACUGUCUCUUACACUUAACCAAUGAAACUGAUCUUUCAGUACAAAAGCUGAAAUAAACCCAUAAGACGAGAAGACCCUGUGGAGCUUUUAGAUCAACAUCACCAUUAUGUUUUACCUGAUCUUCAGUUGGGGCAACUUCGGAGCAUAAUAAACCCUCCGACAAACUAAUCGUUAAUAAGAUUAAACAAAUCAAAUUUAAACUUACCUGACCCAGUAAUAUUUUAAUUAUCUGAUCAACGGACCAAGUUACCCCAGGGAU
rnacentral:rRNA from 1 species